AACUUGAAGCUUCUACAAUCGUGAGCUGGGAAGGGGAAAUAACGGACAAGAUUCGCCCGAGGCAGGCGUGCGAGGAGUGCGCGAGCGUGAGGGGGGCUCGGCCUAGCGGAAGAAGAGGAAGGUGUAGAACGUGCUCGACGUUCGGAGAGCGAGAAUCAAGGAGCGUGAGAACCACAGAGAGAAAACUAGAGAAAAAAGAGCGUGCUCGACCAGGGAAAAUGGUGAGCAGCGUGGAUUCGAGUAAAGAGGGGCAAGCGUUAUCGGUCGAGAGGAACCGCUCUAUCUGUACGUGCGCUUUUUCCCCGAGCUGUCGAGGAUUCUAAAGAACAGCCGUCCCUCAUGCGAUUCUUCAUGUGUGUCUCGAUCGCUGGUACCGGCCGCAAGCUGUUCACUUCUCAAGGAAUCAAGUCACACCAUGGUUGUCAAAGCUUCGUUGGAGAGAGAAAAAGAGGAAGGGAGGACAUCGACCAUUUUGUGGUUGGCUGUGGGCUGAAGAUGAGAGCAGAGGGCUUCGACCAUGGAUUGAAAAAAAAUCUUUGAGAGAGAGAGGGGUUCGGCCAUUGGUGCUUGCUCGAGAGGGGUGCUCGACAGAAGAAAAAAUACAGAGCAGAGAUUGAGGGAGCUUCGACUAGAGGAGCUAGAGCAAAGGAAAAAAAAAAAAAACAGAAAAGAGUGACAGUGAGCUUGGCUAGAGAAAAAACAAACGAGUCAAGAGAGGAGAGAGAGACGUUGGCCGAGGGAAUUUCGGCCAUGGAAGAGUUGGGGCUAAAGAGAGGUUCGCGGAAGAGAAGGGAGAGAAAGAUUCCUUGGGUGGUUUUGGCGGAAAAAAGAGAGGAGAGGGAAGAGAGAUUAAAAAAGGAAAACCAGAGAGAACUACAAAAAAAAGAAAAAGAAAGAGAGGGAGGUUCGUUCCAGAAAAAAGGGAGAGGAGCACAAUGAUCGCGCAACUUGGGUAGGGGAGAAUGACUCAAAUGGAGAAGAAAAGCUAGUGAGGCAUGCUGCGUGACGCCUCUGUGUCUGGCCAAAGUUGUUUCGCCAUUGUGUUAUCCGUCAUCUUAUCCUCGCUCCUAGAUAUAAGAGUCCGAGGAGUGGAGUUCUUCCCCCACUUGAGAGGUUUUCGUCGAUGUGAUGACUCCAUUGUCAACAAACUGAGGAUACUUAGUCUUCGUUUUGAAGAAAGGUACGGUCUCAUUUCUCUAUGGUGAAUUUGAAUUCUCCUGUGCCUAAAUGGAGAGAAAGAUUCCUUGGGUGGUUCUGGCGGAAAAAAGAGAGGAGAGGGAAGAGAGAUUAAAAAGGAAAACCAAAGAGAAAACCACAAAAAAAAAAAGAAGAAAGAAAGAGAAAGAGAGAGGUUCGUUUCAGAAAAAAAGGAGAGGAGCACAACGAUUGCGCAACUUGGGUAGGGGAGGAUGACUCAAACGGAGAAGAAAAGCUAGUGACGCAUGCUGUGUGACGCCUUAGUGUCUAGCCAAAGUUGUUUCGCCAUUGUGUGAUCGGUCAUCUUAUCCUUGCUCCCAGUUAUAAGAGUCCGAGGAGUGGAGUUCUUCCCCCGCUUGAGAGGUUUUCGUUGAUGUGAUGACUCCAUUGUCGACAAACUGAGGAUACUUAGUCUUCGUUUUGAAGCAAGGUACGGUCUCAUUUCUCUAUGGUGAAUUUGAAUUCUCCUGUGCCUAAAUGGUCGUCGGCCGAAUGUUGUUUGAUGAUUCGAAGACGAUUUUCGUUAUUGCUGAUAACUUGAGAUGAAUCCCUCAUUUGUUGUUAAAUCAAUGUUCUGCCUCAUGUCGUCUCAUGAGAAUUGAGUUUUCGAGAUUGUUAAUGUCUAUGAUUCGAGUUGAAUUCUCAGUA